rnacentral:lncRNA from 1 species
UGAAGGGAAGUAAAUAGGUGUUGCACUGGAUUCUGGAAUACUCCAAUCACUGGGGCUUACUGUAGGACCUUGAGGCCCAGGUGAGUUUGUAGUAGGCCAUUGCAUCGUUGGGUUAAAGAGUGGACUCUCCAUUGCGAUGGACUCACUAUUUAAGGUGUGCCUCUGCACUUCCCUAAAACGAUUUCUAGUAACCUUCAUUACCUCUUUACGAGAUGGAGUUUGAUUGUAGAGCCUCUGUUGAUUUUUCCUUUGUUCCCGUUGUGCAGGCAUCAUGUUUGCAUGUCUAUUUCUACAUAAUGCACGAUAAGCCAUGAUUUUAUCUUGACUGCACCGUGAUUUCAUUUGAUGGUUCGUAAGUAUACUGCGAGCAAUAAUUGCCUCACCACCUACAUAAUUGUGUUUGGGUUAAAAUAAUAGCAAUACAACCAGAACAC